UAAUUAAUAGAUAAGGAUAUAAUAGGAAAAAUAACAUUAAUAUUUCAUUGGUAUUGUAAAGCGACAUAUAAUUUGGGACAAAUUUUUUUUUUAAAACGACAUACAAUUUGGGACGGAAGGAGUAUUUGUUACAUGUAAAGGGAGAAAAAUAUGACUAAAACUCUCAAAUUUAUACUUACUAUGAUUUUAUUGCUUUCCUUAUUUCUUGUUGCAGAAAGUGGUGGUAAAUAUGAAAAUAUUCCAUGUGAGUCUAGGGAACAAUGUCCAAAUACUGCGACUCGCAGGUAUGCAUGCUUGAACAAACUGUGUUAUUGCUAUGACAACAAUUAUCCUAAUGGUUGGAAUCCAUUUGAGCCAUAAGGAAAUUCCUUGAUUUAGUUAUACCAGAGUGAGACCAUAAAUUGCAUGAGUAUCAUAUCAAUGACUUCUUUUUUAAAGUGUAAAAUUGUAUCUUUUACCUAAAAAUCUACGGUUUCCAUUCAUCUACUGUGAUCAUGGAGCCUCAUAAUUA